UGGGGAAUUUUGCACAAUGGGCGAAAGCCUGAUGCAGCAACGCCGCGUGUGUGAUGAAGGUCUUCGGAUCGUAAAGCACUUUCGACCGGGACGAACACCUUUUGGCUAACAUCCAAGAGCCUGACGGUACCGGGAGAAGAAGCACCGGCUAACUCUGUGCCAGCAGCCGCGGUAAUACAGAGGGUGCAAGCGUUGUUCGGAAUUAUUGGGCGUAAAGCGCGUGUAGGCGGCUUUGCAAGUCGGGUGUGAAAGCCCUCAGCUUAACUGAGGAAGUGCGCCCGAAACUGCUUGGCUUGAGUACCGGAGAGGAUGGCGGAAUUCCCCAAGUAGAGGUGAAAUUCGUAGAUAUGGGGAGGAACACCGGUGGCGAAGGCGGCCAUCUGGACGGAUACUGACGCUGAGACGCGAAAGCGUGGGUAGCAAACAGGAUUAGAUACCCCCGUAGUCC
rnacentral:rRNA from 1 species